CUCCACACCUAAUGUACCCCUUGACUUAAAACAGGUCUAGGCUGAGAUCUUGAAAAAUACCGUCAGGAACUGUGACUACAUAAACCCGAUAUGGGACCAAAAACCUUAAUAAGUCCUUUCCGUCUCCACUUGUGAGGACUCUGUAUAUUCGUCCUCUCUUAGUCAUCAUUUGGGUGAGUUCUCCAUAUUUAUGCUUGUUCUUUUUUUCAGCUGUCCUCAUAAAUCAAUCCCUGCAGUCUCCUAAUCAAAUCCAGCUUUUCAAAUGAAACCGCAGCCGGGUGUUUAACUAACUAAAUAUUGUUUUUCCCCCAGCACUGACAGAGAGAGAGGGUGGGAUGAAGCCUUGAUCGGUGUCCUCUCCGCCUCAGCAAUCCAGGAAGCUGCCGCCGCAGUUACUGACAGGGACCCAGGAUGCUACACUACAUGGAGCAGCCCAACAUACCAGGAGGGGUCUCUCCUCGCCUCUGUGCUUGCCAGCCCUCCUCCUAGCCAUGCCCUUGCUCAGAUGUAUCCCAUAUCCACCUUUUAAAUCCCAGCUCUGUGUCCUCUAGAAAGUCUUCCUUGGUUUCUCCAAGAAGAGCUAAAAAUAGCUAACAUCUACAGGGUACUGUUCCAAGAGCUGUUCAGUCAUUUCUCGGUAACCAUGGGGGAUUAGUCCCAGAAACUCUGGAGGAUACCAAAAUCCACAGAUGCUCAAGUUGCUGACAUAAAAUUUGGUUUGCCAUAUAAGCUAACCACAUCCUCCAUGUACUUUAAGUCAUCUCUAGAUUACUUAUAAUACCUGAUACAAUGUAAAUGCUAUGUAAGUAGUUGUUACACUAUGUUUGCUACACUAUUUUGUUUAAGGAAUAAUGACAAGAAAAAAAGAAUCUGUACAUGUUCAGUAAAGAUGGUUUUUAAAAAAAUAUUUUUAUGGUGAAACCCCGUCUCUACUAAAAAUACAAA
rnacentral:lncRNA from 10 species